UAGACAAAGGCAAAUUAGAGAAUAUUCUGAACCAAGGCUAGAAAUCUUUUACUGCCCUCCAUACUGAGAUCUCAAGAGUUAAAAAUCACACUGAUCUCCCAGACAAUUGAGUCAGAAGAAUCUUCUGCUUCUUCCAAGGAAAAUAAAUGACAGAAUCUCUAACUCAGAAAAGGAUAGAAAAGGGACUUGACACACCCACUAGAAUGCUAAAAAUUAAGAAGACUGACCAAAUACCAAAUGAUGUCAAGAUGUGAUUCAGUUGGUACCCUUCCAUAUCCCUACUGUACUGAUGGGAGGCUAAAAUAGCGGCCACUUUGGGAAAGUGGUGACACUGUCUUAAAGUUAAAUGUGUAUAUACCCUGUGACUCAUCAAUUCCACUCCUGAGUCUUUACCUAAGAACAAGAAAGCAAUGUACAGGGAUACUCAUGAAAGCUUUAUUCAUAUUAGACAAAAUCUAGAAACAACGUAAUGUCCAUCAACAGGAGAACUGAUAAACUAAUUUGAAAUCUCCAUAUAAUGGAAUACCACUCAGCAAGGCCACAACAUGGAUAAACCCACAAUAUAAUAUUUUGAGUAAAAAAAUACUUGCCACAAAAUAGUACAUGCAGUAUAAUUCCAUUAUAUGAAGUACUAUAUGGUGAUUAAAAAUAAGAAUGGUGAUUAUUGUAGAUGGUAUUGACUAGAAAGAGACAUGAGUAAAUUUUAGGUUGUAAUAUUCUGUGUCUUGAUUGGGG
rnacentral:lncRNA from 13 species